rnacentral:lncRNA from 1 species
UGGUGGCGCGUGCCUGUAAUCCCAGCUACUCAGGAGGCUGAGGCAGGAGAAUCGCUGGAACCCGGGAGGUGGAGGUUGCAGUGAGCUGAGAUUGUGCCAUUGCACUCCAGCCUGGGCAACAAGGGUGAAACUCCGACUCGGGGAAAAAAAAAAAAAAAAAGAAGUCAAAGAGGGAAAGAGAGAGGUGACAGCAUGCUGGCAGCCCUCGCACGCUCUCGGCGCCUCCUCGGCCUUGGCGCUCACUCUGGCCGCGCUUGAGGAGCCCUUCAGUCCACCGCUGCACUGUGGGAGCACCUUUCUGGGCUGGCCAAGGCCGGAGCCGGCUCCCUCAGCUCGCGGGGAGGUGUGGAGGGAGAGGCGCGGGCGGGAACCGGGGCUGCGCGCAGCGCUUGCAGGCCAGCGUGAGUUCCCAGUGGGCAUGGGCUCGGCAAGCCCCACACUGGGAGCCGGCAGGCCCGCAAGCCCUGGGCAGUGAGGGGCUUAGCACCUGGGCCAGCAGCUGCUGUGCUCGAUUUCUGGCUGGGCCUUAGCUGCCUCCCUGCAGGGCAGGGCUGGGGACCUGCAGCCCACCAUGCCUGAGCCUCCCCCGACCUGCUGUGGGCUCCUGUGCAGCCCGAGCCUCCCUGACGAGCACUGCUCCCUGCUCCACGGCGCCCAGUCCCAUCCACGGCCCAAGGGCUGAGGAGUGCUGGCGCAUGGUGCGGGACUGGCAGGCAGCUUCACCUGCGGCCCCUGUGCGGGAUCCACUGGGUGAAGCCAGCUGGGCUCCUGAGUCUGGCGGGGACUUGGAGAACAUUUAUGUCUAGCUAAGGGAUUGUGAAUGCACCAAUCGGCACUCUAUCUAGUUAGUCUGGUGGGGACUUGGAGAAUCUUUAUGUCUAGCUAAAGGUUUGUAAAUGCACCAAUCAGCACUCUGUGUCUAGCUCAGGGUUUGUAAAUACACCAAUCGACACUCUGUAUCUAGCUAACCUAGUGGGGACAUGGAGAACUUUUGUGUCUCACUCAGGGAUUGUAAACGCACCAAUCAGCACCCUGUCAAAAUGGACCAAUCAGCUCUCUGUAAAAUGGACCAAUUAGCAGGAUGUGGGUGGGGCCAGAUAAGAGAAUAAAAGCAGGCUGCCCGAGCUAGCAGUGGCAACCCACUCGGUCCAGUUACACGCUGUGGAAGCUUUGUUCUUUCGCUCUUUGUGAUAAAUGUUGCUACUGCUCACUCUGGGUCCACGCUGCCUUUAUGAACUGUAACACUCACCGUGACAGUCUGCAGCUUCACACCUGAAGCCAGCGAGACCACAAACCCACCAGGAGGAACGAACAACUCCAGGCAGGUAGCCUUAAGAACUGUAACACUCACUGCGAAGGUCUGCAGCUUCACUCCUGAGCCAGCGAGACCAUGAACCCACUAAAAGGAAGAAACUCCGAACACAUCCGAACAUCAGAAGGAGCAAACAAACUCCGGACACGCCACCUUUAAGAACUGUAACACUCACCGCGAGGGUCUGCGGCUUCGUUCUUGAAGUCAGUGAGACCAAGAACCCACCAAUUCCGGACACAAAAGGAAGAAAAUAAAGGAGAAAAUAAGAAGGAAAAAGGAAAUUUACAGAUGAGGAACCGAAGGUCCAGAAAGGUGAGAUGAUUUUCCGAGGUUACACUUCUACUUUGGAGAAACAGCUUGAGCUCAACCAUUUCCUCACGGUCCAAGGCUGCUUCUAGUGGACUACCCACUUCUAAAUUGCGACGCAAGUUUUCGCUUUUACCAAAACAAAACUGCACCAGUUAGAAAUUGUUCCAAAGCAAAACUGAAACUUCUACUGAGAAUGCUACUAUUCUGAAGCUGAAAUUAUGCCUUUAAAAAAACACUUUUUUUUUUUACCAGACUAGUUCAGUGGCAUCAAGAAUUGCUAAAAUCUUAGUAAUUUAUUUUUUAAAGCAUUGUUUUAUCCAGAUACUUAAGAAGAUGUGAUUUUAAUACUUCAUUAUUCCAUUGCAUUUUAAAGCAAGGUUUUAAUUUAGUCUCACAACCAAAACACUUUCCAAAAAAAGCAUCUCUAAUUUGGUAAUUUGUGUCAAUAAGAAAAUAUGACUAAUUAAUAUAAAUCAGAUUUACUGCCAACUUUUCAGGAAUACAUUU